UUAUAAAAUCUCAUAAUACACAAUUACAAAAUUAUUCUAAAAAAAAUACAACAUUUAUUGAUCAAACCUUAAUUCAAUAAAAAUACAACAUUUUGGUGAUAACAAGUUUCCUACUGAGGCUGAAAAAAGGUAAAGUCUUUAGAUUGUGGACACUAUAAAUUUGCUGGAAAUUUCUAAGAAGUUGGACCCCAUUCAACAAUGAUCUUGCAUGUGAACUUCAUUAGAGGCUGGACCCAUUUGAUAGGUGACCGAUCCCUUGGAAGCCCUCGUAUUACAUCUAUUUUUAUGUGUUGAAAUUGAAAGAUGAUAAGAAGUUUUCUGGUGAUUUUUUCAUCUGUUCUAAUCCUGGUGGAAGAUGAUUGGAAUUUUCUCCAUAGACCAAAUUCUGCAUUCACAUACCUGAGAAAUAAUUUGCCAGUUUGGACUUCAAAUAUUUCUCUUUAUUAAGCAGCACAACAAAUAUAUUAUAUGAGUUUCCUUCACCAUAUACCCAAAGUUGAGAACUUGCCUGUUAGUCUUUAGCAAUAUUCUUCAACAAUGUCUCAUUCUUCUUCUUCCAAAAAUUGCAAUUACGAUGUCUUUUUGAGUUUUAGAGGUGAAGAUACACGUAGAACCUUUGUGAGUCAUCUCUAUAAUGCUCUGGAACAAAGAGGAAUCCGUUCUUUUAAAGAUGAUGAACGACUAGAAACAGGAAAAACAAUUUCUGAUGAACUUUUGAAAGCCAUAGAAGAGGCCAGAUUCGCUGUCGUAAUAUUUUCAAAAAGCUAUGCAUCCUCAAGAUGGUGCUUAGAGGAGCUUGCACACAUCAUAAAGUGUAAAAAGGAAUUGGAGCAGACUGUGAUUCCAGUCUUCUAUGAUGUGAGUCCAUCAGAUGUGCGCCAUCAAAAUCCCCCUUUCGUUGAUUCAUUUUCCCAACACAAAGAUGAUAUGGAGAAAGUUCAAAGAUGGAGGGGUGCAUUUGUGGAGGCAGGGAAAAUAUCAGGCUAUCAUUUACUAAAUUUCAAGGAUGAGGCAGAGUGCAUCAAGAAACUAGUUGAUGAUAUAUUUCCUAAGUCACUUCAAAUUAUUUCACCUUUCCCGGAAAGUUUAGUGGGUAUGAAAUCUCAGGUUGAGAAAGUAACCUCAUUAUUAGGUAUGGAAUCAAAUGAUGUUCGCUCCAUUGGAAUUUGGGGUAUGGGCGGCAUAGGCAAGACAGAAAUUGCAAAUGUUCUACACCAAACAUACCGCCAUCGAUUUGAAGCUGAUUGUUUUCUUGGUGAUGUUGGAAAACUUCAUCAGGAAAAUGGACUAACAUGGCUACAAGAAGUCGUCAUUUGCAAGCUCUUGGGUGAAAAAUUGACUCUAACUAGUGAGCAUGAAGGGAUGAAUAUUUUAAAGAAUAGGCUUCGCUGGAAGAAAGUUCUGUUCAUCCUCGAUGAUGUAAACCAUCAAAAACAGUUGGAAUUUUAGUUGGAGGGCCAGAGUGGUUUGGAAUGGGUAGCAGAAUUAUUUUAACAGCAAGAGACAGGCACCUGUUAAUCAGUCACGUUGGGGAUAACGUGUAUGAAGUCCAACUAUUAUCUGAGCAUGAAGCACUUGAAUUGUUCAGUAGGCAUGCUUUUAGAGAAAAAUCACCAAAAGAAGAUUUUAUGAAACUUUCAGGACAAGUGGUGAGGCAUGCUGGUGGACUCCCUUUAGCUCUUAAAGUUUUGGGUUCUUCAUUGUACAGACGAGACAAAAAGCACUGGAGACACACAAUUGAUCGGCUGAAGAGAAUCCCUGACAAGGAUAUUCUAGGAAAGCUUAAGCUUAGUUUUGAUGGUCUGGACAAAGAAGAGAAGGAAUUAUUUCUAGAUAUUGCAUUUCUAGAUAUUGCAUGCUUGGCUAGAUACAAUUUUGAUCUUUACGUGGAACUAGUAGUGAGAGACGCGAGUCGUGGUGUUCUAAUAGAUUACCUUAUAGAAAAAUCUCUGCUAUCCAUCAACCUGUAUAAUAGAAUCGUGAUGCAUACUAUGAUAAGAGGAAUGGGUGAAAAAGUCAUACGGGAAGAAUAUGCUAACAGCAGAAUAUGGCUUCCCGAGGAGGUUCGUGACCUUUUUAAAGGAAAGUUGAUAACAGAAAAGGUGGAAAGCCUACGUAUCCCAAAGGAUUACUAUUUUGAAGAUGAUCUUGUCAAUUAUAGCAAUAUUUUCAAGAGGAUGCAAAGCUUACAAAUACUCAUAAUUGAUGAUGCACCUUUUAGCUCAAACUGCGCCAUCACUUAUCUUCCUUCCAGCCUGCGGCUUAUUGAAUGGAUGGGGUAUCCUUCAAUUUCAUUGCCAGAGAGCUUUGAACCAUCACAGCUCGUUGUGCUUCGUUUACGUCAAAGUUGGCUUGUGGAACUUUGGUCAAUAUCAAAGAAAUUGAGCAACUUGAAGCAUUUGGAUCGAAGCAAUAGCCUUGGGUUAACAAAAACCCGUAAUUUUGGUGAUAUGCCAAACUUGGAGGCACUAUAUUUGCUGGGGUGUGUGAAUUUGGAAGAGGUCCAUCCCUCUCUUGGACAUUGCAGAAUGCUUACUUAUUUGAGUUUGUAUAAAUGUCGCAAACUUAAGAAGCUUCCAAAAUUUGUCUGCAUGGAAUCUCUCGAGUCUCUCAAUCUCCUUGAAUGCACAAGCUUAGAAGAAUUUCCAGAAAUCUGUGGAGAUAUGCGUAGCUUAUCAAUACUCAAUCUAGAAUCCCCGUGGAUAAGAAGCUUACCCCCAUCUCUCAGCGGCCUUAGAGAGAUGUAUUUGAUUGAUUGUGAAAUUCUUGAAAGUAUUCCGGACGCUUUUCGAAAUCUUAGAGAUCUCCGUAUUUCAGGUUGCAAUAAACUUGCAGCACUGCCAAACAGCCUCUUUGAAUCACAGCAAUUGGAAUCUCUUUAUAUAUACCGAUGUUCUGUAUUGGUAAAGCUCCCCAUGUCUCUUGGAGUUCAAAAGAAGCUCCGUUUGUUACGUAUAGAUAGAUGUGAGAACUUAAAGGAGCUUCCUAGCCCUAUUCAGCUGAAAUCCCAUCAUACGCUCAACAUAUCUAAUACCCCAAAAUUAGAUACAUUUCCCGAAUUCAAAGGAGAUAUGCAUUGCUUGAGAGAACUGACUCUGAAUUCUACUGGGAUAAGAGAAGUACCUUCAUCCAUUGGGAAUCUGAGCGGCCUUAAAGCUCUCUAUCUGGAAGGUUGGGAAGAUCUUGUAAGUCUACCAGGCAGCCUCUGUAAUUUGAGGGAGCUUUGUCGUCUUUCCCUCAGAGGUUGCAAAAAGCUAGAGAAGCUUCCAGAAAAUCUUGGUGAUUUGCAAAAGUUAGAGGAACUUGAUGCGAGAGAAACUGCAAUCUCCCAACCACCUCCCUCCAUCACCAAGCUUGACAAACUGAAGAUUUUAGGCUUGGGUAGACUUCCUGAGGAUUUAGUGUCUUUGCACUUGCUGGAUACUAAAAGUAUCAGCAAACUCUCAGAGCUUUAUCACCUGAACGUAGAAUCCUGUCAGAAUCUUAAUGUAUUGUCAGGAGAGCUACCUCCAAAUUUAGAGCAGCUAUUUGCAGAUUAUCAUUUAGGCUUGAAGAGCAUCAGAGAUCUCGUAACUGAUUAUUUUAAGCUGUAUAAGCUCUCAAUAUCCGACUGUGGAACUGUCUCAAGUGAACAAGUUAAUGUGUUCCUACAGUAUGUUCGCAGGGCAUGCAUCCAGGACAUUAUUUUAUUAGCCAAAGGGCAGGACCAAAGCUGAAAGAGAGAAGAUAUAUUUAUAUUGUUCGGUUGCUAAAAUUGAAGAAUCGAUGAACGUUCAAUUUUCUCCUUUUAUAUAUAAAUUAUCAAAUUAUUUGAAGAAGACAAAAUGCAUUAGUCAACAUGUUUACAUCAUGGGUGAAGACUCGUAUUCCCCUUACUUUUACUUUUCUUCACUUCAUUACAAUAAGUAUUCAUGUAAUUAUUUAGAAAAAGAAUCAAAUAUAUCGUCUAACUAUUACAAAUGAUUUAAUAAUGUAAUU